AAUGUACGUAGUCUGCGACAUACA
rnacentral:rRNA from 1 species